rnacentral:lncRNA from 1 species
GAGUAAAUAUGCAAGAGAAAUCGAACCACUAUGUCUCUUUCAUAUCCCUUCUAUGUUAGAAUUGAAAUCUCUUGGCCCUUUUCUCUCCAUCCCCCCUUCGGAAAAUCCUCCAAAGUUCUCUCUACUUAUCAGGAACCAACCUGAUGAAUGAAGGGCUGCGAUUCAUUGAAAUCGAAUCUACGCUCCAUAUUCAUCAAGCA